rnacentral:rRNA from 1 species
UACGGAGGGGGCUAGCGUUAUUCGGAAUUAUUGGGCGUAAAGGGCGCGUAGGCGGCCCGGUAAGUCAAAGGUGAAAUCCCUCGGCUCAACUGAGGAACUGCCUUUGAAACUGUCGGGCUUGAGGCCGGGAGGGGGUAGCGGAAUUCCCAGUGUAGCGGUGAAAUGCGUAGAUAUUAGGAAGGACACCAGUGGCGAAGGCGGCUCACUGGCUCGGUACUGACGCUGAGGCGCGAAAGCGUGGGGAGCAAACAGG